rnacentral:rRNA from 1 species
AAUAACCCUGCCGAAAGGCGGGCUAAUACUGGAUAGAGCGAUGGAAUCCGUAAUUGGGUUUUCGGGAAAGGGAGCUCGUAAGAGCCUUCGCUUUGGGAUGAGCCUGCGUCUCAUUAGCUAGUUGGUGGGGUAACGGCCCACCAAGGCUGUGAUGGGUAGCUGGUCUGAGAGGACGGACAGCCACACUGGGACUGAGACACGGCCCAG